ACAGCAUGAUUGGGGCAUUUACGAAUAAGAUCUCUUAACUUUUCUCAUAUUUUAUGAAAAAGUUCACCAUCCAAUUGAAAAAAACUAGUGAUGGCUUUUCUAAUUU